GUACCAUUAAAUCACACGCUUUCCCAGUCCCAGCCCGCACACUUUUUUCCCCCCACCUUGAACUCGGCUCAGCCACCGUCAGCUGGGCAGAAAAAGAGAAAAAAGGGGGGGCUUUUAAAACAGUAACACCGACCGCUCUAAUCUGUUUUAAUUACAGGGUUUGCCAAUCAAAGAGGGAGAGCGCAGAAAUUGGGAACUCCUGUAGGGGAUGGCUGUGUCCGAGGCUGGGAGAGCAAACGCAUCCCCUCGCACGCAGGUUUCAGUGCGUUCCCCGUAACAGGAAAUUUUCUCUUCCUUAAAUUAUAAUUGAACGAGCCCCGCAGCCCACUUGGAGAAAAGUUGGAAUUCUUCAUCGAGGUUUGCUGUUAAGAAAUUAAGCUUCUUGCUGGGUGACCGAAAAGCUGCGCAGGGAUUUCCAGUCCACGUUGAAAUGAAACAGUCCUCUUUAUUUAGUCUCAGAACUCCAGCUUUCAGCCACGGGCUCAAUUAGCCAAAAUGGAAACAAUUUUCAUUCAUUGCAAUAACUCACUGUUCUGCUGAUCACUUUCAAAAUAUACACUUUAUUAUUAUACGCUGACCUCGGUGCCGCGAAGUGGCAAGGCUAGAAAGAGGCAGAGGGAUCUCUCCAGCCCCCUUGGGCUGUAAUUAUUAGAAAUUAAUUGGGUUCAGGACCCUGGGUAGCAUGGGUAAAUUAAUAGCUUGUCUGGUUGUUUAAAUCCGAAUUCUCGGUGCCGAGGAGAGCAGGGGAGGGAGGCUCUCCCUCCCCACACCCGCCCCGGGAGAGCGCGCCGAGGGCUGGGGCAGCGCCGACCCGCCGGCUGCUUUUCCUCCUUCUUUUUCACCAACCGCAUUGUUUUCGGGGAGCUAUUUAGGGGUUAAAAAUCAAAAAAUAAAGAUCCUGUAUACUUGGAGCUGUCGUGCUGGAGUAAAAGUGAAAAGGGAGCCUUAGGCAAAAGGAAAUUACUGCGAGCCCGCGUGACCUUUCCGAGAGGUAAUCAAUCAAGUGAUCAACAGGGAUAUUUAUCAUUGCUCGAUGGGGCUACUUUACAAAUGCACAGAAGGGGGGGGGGGGGGCGGGGGUACAGACACACACACAGAGAAAAAAAAGUUUGGAUAAACCCGGUAAGUCUGAAGACAAAUGCGGAGGCUUUAAUCACCGGGAAGAUUGCACAUUUGCUUUUGCUGAGCUCUCAGAAGGAAAGGAAGGGAGAAAAACCGCUCCAAAGUUUGCCAGUAGAAAAUGCCUCCUGUACUAGGUGGUCACAUGGAGGCUGUCCACUUUGCUUUGCAGUCCUGGGAAAGGCUGGGAACGACAGAUGCGAUUAAAAAAAAAACAAAAAACACACACACACCAAAAAACCCCCCACUAAAUCCAAGGGAAAAUAAUAGAGAGAGAUUGAGGCUUUGAUAACCGGGCUCGGUGUUUGGUUUUAUGUAAUGUGUUUGUAUUUGCUGGCUCGAAACUGGGAGGCUGCGGAGCCCGGUCCUGCCUGCCUCUAGCCCCCGAAACGGUUAACUCCGAAAACAAAACAACAAAAAAAAAAAAAAAAGAAAAAAAGAAAAAGAAAAAAAAAACCCACUCCAUGCCCCCUACUAUAUGAAAUCAGCGAUCUGGUUCAAUUAAACUUGCUCUCCGUAGCAUAAAGCAUCCACCACAAUACAGGCAAUGAAAACCAACAAUAAAAGCCCAUGCAUUUUCUGCGCAGUUUCCUUCUCCCUUGUAAAACAUGCCGUCGUGUAAGCACCAGACAUUUAAUUUUGCUCCCUAUAACUUACCGGAUUCCUUAACAAACCUACUACGACCACUUUUUUUUUCCUUUUUCUUUUCUUCUCCCCG